AGGUCACUCAGACCACGGUCACUCUCCAGCCCCCGGCCCAGCGCCAGGCUGGACCAGUCCGGUACGCUCCGGGCCUCACCGAGGAAGUCCCACCCUGCAGGGGAACCGACUCUGGCCGGCCCUAACCCCUCUCGAGCGAGUCCCGCCCCAUCUCCGGUCUGUCCUGAAGGCAGAGGGAAGACCCUCACCCAACCCCUGCCCGCUCUCUUCUAAGAGCUGCUAGUCCUUCUCCACCCCAGGCGCUCCCUCUGGCUGCCCCUCCCACUCGCUCUGAUCUCUCUCCGUCCGCUACUUGCGGUCGAGCCUUCUUGGGGGAGCCCCGCCACUGAAUACCCCCUUUGCCAUACUCCCACCUCUCUUACCCCAACCCUGGACUUCCAGUUGGCCCUAGCUAUAAGCCCCGCCCCUCUCCGAGGGACAGCCCCCGCUCCAGUCUCCGCGGUCCCACUUACCCUAGCCC
rnacentral:lncRNA from 1 species